rnacentral:rRNA from 1 species
UAUUGCACAAUGGGCGCAAGCCUGAUGCAGCAACGCCGCGUGAGCGAAGAAGGUCUUCGGAUNGUACAGCUCUGUCCUGGAGGAANNCGNNNGNGACGGUACUCAAGGAGGAAGCCCCGGCUAACUACGUNNNAGCCGCCGCGGUAAUACGUAGGGGGCAAGCGUUAUCCGGAAGUAUUGGGCGUAAAGAGUACGCAGGUGGUUUUGUAAGCGCGGGGUGAAAGGCAGUGGCUUAACCAUUGUAAGCCUUGCGAACUGCAAGACUUGAGUGCAGGAGAGGAAAGCGGAAUUCCUAGUGUAGCGGUGAAAUGCUUAGAUAUUAGGAGGAACACCAGUGGCGAAGGCGGCUUUCUGGACUGUAACUGACACUGAGGUACGAAAGCGUGGGGAGCAAA